AUACCCACUUAUCUAGUCAGAAUGAUAGGAAAUUAUAAUCACACAUUUUCUUUCUUUCAUUUUUCACUAAGAUGUACAUGUAUUGCUUAUCUAAUUGUUUUCUUCUGAAUCUAUGUAGCAACUGUUCUGACAAAAAGCAGAUUAUCAUUCUAAAAAUAUAUUUCAAUUUUUUUCCCUUUCUUAAUUUCAUUUUUUUUCUUUUUUAACUGCUAAAUUGAUUCAAAAUUACCCAUACUUAGUUCUUAUCUCAGACUAUCUGAGGUUACAAUUUGGGAUCCAAAUUAAGUAAAUUAGAGAAUUAUUUUCAGUGGAUAGGUGAAGGUGCCUAGUUUCCAGAGUGUUAUGUAAACUCCUCUAUUCUGCCAUCUAAUUUGCACAGAGUAUUAUGAGGCUAUUUAUUGUAUUGUUAAUAAGUUUUUUUUCUUGCCUUCAAACUGAGCAACAAGAAAUUACGAGUUCUAAUUUGUUUCAAAAUGGAAUUGCUUAUAUGAACAGUUUUUGAUUGAAUGAUGCAGCUUUCAAACAUUGCACUUGAGAAGGAAAUGAAGUUCCUACUUCUGGAUAAUAUUUUUGUAAUGUAUGACACUGUGAAGGAGAAAGCUGUAGGAAAAUACAUCCUUAAUGGAGACUAGGGUAGAAGCACUUCUAUUGUGUUGAGCGUAUAAAGUUCUUUUGACCUGGUCCAUUAUGAACUCAUAAAACAUUGAUUGUUUUGGAACUUGGCUAUCUUAAAGCAGAAUGAAGUAGCUGGUUUGGGCUUCUUAAUUUUGGUAAUAAUAUAGCCGUGUGUUGCUAUAUAGCUUAUAUUAAAACUGUUGAAGGCAUACAAUAGAAUUUAUAGAUAACCUUGAAGACAAAAUCCAGAUGGGUUGUUUUCUGGAGAGUGCAAAUAGAGUCCCCGUAGUGUCUGAAUCCUUGAAGAUGCUGAAAAUGGGAGAAAGCACACCAGUUCCCUUGCAUCACUCAGGUAAGGCAUCUGCAUAGAUACCAGACAUCCUCUAUAACAAAGCAGAUUAAGAACUGAAUGAAAUGCUCAGAAUGGAAGAGUUGUGCCUCCAUUCUUUCCCUGCUGCUUUGCUGUCUUUCUGCAAACUCUUAUCUCCUGUUCAAGGCUAUCUUCUUCUGGAUUGUUUCACUUCUCUUUCUCAUUUGAAUACCAGACACUUGGAUAAACUUAUUAUUCUGUUUAUCUUUUCUCUGUAUAAAAGAAUUAGGAGUAAUAUCCACAAAGUUACUGGUUGAAGGAAAGAUGUGGCUUUUGAGGUCAAUUAGGAAGUCAGAUGCAUUGAUACUUUUGCCAGCAUAAAGACUUUGUUUUAGUAUUAAUUUGCCAUUUUUCAUCAGGAGAUGGAAAGAGGAAAGGAAGGGGGAAAGGUAAUUAGAACAUAACUAUUGUAAAAUCCAGUGUUUCUCUUCAUUCUAUGAACCCAGCAGUGAGGAAGAGGAGGAAGUAUGUAAGAAAAGUCAUCAGCCAAAUAUCAGUGUUAUUACCAGCCCUUCUGUAGUCUAUCAAUCACAAAGGUACAGGAAGGGGUAGAGAAGCAGUGGAAAACAUGACAGAGAGAUGGAAACUGAAAUGGAUGGGAAAAGACAGUGGUAAGAAAAACAAGGAAGUGAGGAAGACAAUGUGAGAUACGUUCUGCAUCUCAGAUGAAGUAGGUGAAGAAGAGAAGGGCUGGAAAGAAGUGACCAAAAACGUUGUCGAGGAAACAGUCAGGACUGUUCAGAGACUGAUUAGUGAAAAAUUAUCAUCUGAAACGUCUCUUAUCCAUUUUUUUCUCUUUCAAGGAAAGUCCUAUGUGAAGAGGCCCUAAGACUUAGAUAAGAAUCCCUUUUAUGAUCAUGUCCUGCAGUUAAUGAUCAUAGGCUUCAUUCUAAUAGUGUGGAUUCCUGAAGGCUUCUAUAUAGCCAGCAGGAGAAGCUGGCUCAGUAGAUCCAAUAAUAAUAUUAUUACUAUUAAUAAUAAUAAUAGAGGUCACAUUCCCUUCUUGGAGAUUCUUCACAGCAGAAAUGAAUCUGAAUUCUCUUGGCUACAUUUUAAUAUCUGAAUCUUUAAUAGACUUUAAAAACUGUCUUUUUUGGGGUGUAUUUCUUGCCUUCUAACACAGUUUUUGCUCAAAAUUUUUAGUUUGUCAUCCCAUUGAUGUUUUUUCUUUUUUUUUUCUUUAGCAGUGUAUCCUUGUCAUUACAGCAGAAUUGUCAAAUAUCUGCAAUAAAACAUUUCCACCCAAGAGAAGAAACAAGCCUCUAAAGAGCUGAACACAUUUUUUGAUCAGUAACUGCCAUUUCUUCAGAGCACUUCUGUGACUUGAGGAAUUAGUCUUCCCUUCCUGGGUCCAAGCUGCUACUCACAGGCUGUAUGAGUGACUUCACAGAUGACUCCUGCACUGAGAGUUUCCAGCAUUCCUAGUAAGCAGCUUUCACUAUGGCUUGCCAUCUCAUACAGCAAAUUUUCCUAGCUAUACGAGACAGAAGAGACAGUAUCAGCAUUAAGUUCCUUUUUUUUUUUUUCUUCUCCUUUUAAUUAAAGAAGGUAAUGCAUUUGCUUCCCUAUUCUCAUGGGUUUCCCUAUUCAAAAUAUUGCUCUGUCUCAUCCUUAUUUAUGAAACCAUUGAUUAAUGCAAAUAAAGGAUUAUAUAAUUGGGUUA